rnacentral:rRNA from 1 species
AUUGAACGCUGGCGGCAGGCCUAACACAUGCAAGUCGAACGGUAGCACAGAGAGCUUGCUCUCGGGUGACGAGUGGCGGACGGGUGAGUAAUGUCUGGGAAACUGCCCGAUGGAGGGGGAUAACUACUGGAAACGGUAGCUAAUACCGCAUAACGUCGCAAGACCAAAGUGGGGGACCUUCGGGCCUCACACCAUCGGAUGUGCCCAGAUGGGAUUAGCUAGUAGGUGGGGUAAUGGCUCACCUAGGCGACGAUCCCUAGCUGGUCUGAGAGGAUGACCAGCCACACUGGAACUGAGACACGGUCCAGACUCCUACGGGAGGCAGCAGUGGGGAAUAUUGCACAAUGGGCGCAAGCCUGAUGCAGCCAUGCCGCGUGUAUGAAGAAGGCCUUCGGGUUGUAAAGUACUUUCAGCGGGGAGGAAGGCGGUGAAGUUAAUAACUUCACCGAUUGACGUUACCCGCAGAAGAAGCACCGGCUAACUCCGUGCCAGCAGCCGCCGUAA